rnacentral:rRNA from 1 species
UGGGGAAUAUUGGACAAUGGGCGAAAGCCUGAUCCAGCAAUGCCGCGUGCAGGACGAAGGCCUUCGGGUUGUAAACUGCUUUUGUACGGAACGAAACGGUCCCUUCUAAUAAAGGGGGCUAAUGACGGUACCGUAAGAAUAAGCACCGGCUAACUACGUGCCAGCAGCCGCGGUAAUACGUAGGGUGCGAGCGUUAAUCGGAAUUACUGGGCGUAAAGCGUGCGCAGGCGGUUAUAUAAGACAGAUGUGAAAUCCCCGGGCUCAACCUGGGACCUGCAUUUGUGACUGUAUAGCUAGAGUACGGUAGAGGGGGAUGGAAUUCCGCGUGUAGCAGUGAAAUGCGUAGAUAUGCGGAGGAACACCGAUGGCGAAGGCAAUCCCCUGGACCUGUACUGACGCUCAUGCACGAAAGCGUGGGGAGCAAACAGGAUUAGAUACCCCCGUAGUCCCUGAGCGGGCUGGCAAGGCGCAU